UUUUCACACUCACAGACGAGAUUUGUGAAUUUUGGUGUGAAAUAAAAAUAGGGGGAAUAUUGCAUAUAUAUGGUCGCUGAGAGGAGAAGGCAGGGGACGGGGACCGACCGGGGUGCUGUCGUUCAGGUUCAGUCGUAGUCAAGCCAACACAUUGGGUGUCAGGAAUCUAUGUGUGACUCCACCAAACGUCAAAUCAUUCCAUGCACGUUUUCAGUUUUCACGCCAGAAAGAUUUCAAAAAAAAAAAGAAAAAAAAAAACUAAAAUCCCUAAACCUAAUGCACAUACAUAGUGUUUGUGGAUCAAUAAGUGAGAAGAAAAAAGAAGAAGAAGAAACGACUGACGAAUAACAGGCAAAGAGACAGAUUACGAAAAAGAUUAGAAGGGGAAUCAAUAGGACAGGAAACCGCAGCUUUAUUUCACCUUGUUUAAUUGUAGCUCCGUAGAUAAAUUCAAGCAUUGCUAUACAAUUCACAACAAAGACGUGUCUUCCCGUUGUUGAUUCAGAUACAGGCAUACAGCACAGUGAGUACCGCACUGUUUUCAUCCCGGCCCGGCUGUUGGCGCAAAAUCCAAUUUACAAUUCAAAAACAGAUUGAUAUAUACAGAGAUAGAUUUGAGAGUUUACUGUUACAUGUAUGUAUUGUAUUAUUUGUAUGUAUACAUACUUGGAUUCGUCGACACUUCAAAGUCUGAAGUUCUGCACAUAAUUCCAAAACAUUCUGAAACAGUUAAGAAG
rnacentral:lncRNA from 1 species